AUACGUAGGGGGCGAGCGUUGUCCGGAAUGAUUGGGCGUAAAGGGCGCGUAGGCGGCCCGGUAAGUCUGGAGUGAAAGUCCUGUUUUUAAGAUGGGAAUUGCUUUGGAUACUGUCGGGCUUGAGUGCAGGAGAGGUAAGUGGAAUUCCCAGUGUAGCGGUGAAAUGCGUAGAGAUUGGGAGGAACACCAGUGGCGAAGGCGACUUACUGGGCCGUAACUGACGCUGAGGCGCGAAAGUGUGGGGAGCAAACAGGAUUAGAUACCCUGGUAGUCCACACGGUAAACGAUGAAUGCUAGGUGUAGGGGGUAUCGACCCCUUCUGUGCCGCAGUCAACACAAUAAGUAUUCCGCCUGGGGAGUACGGCCGCAAGGUUGAAACUCAAAUGAAUUGGCGGGG
rnacentral:rRNA from 1 species